CCAAAAUGUAUGCUUGCCGCAAGCUUGCUGCAAGCUUGCGGCAAGCUUGUGACAAGCUUGUACAGGCUGAUCAUGGCUAUUGCAAGCUUGCAGAAAGCUUACGCAAGCUUGCGUGUAUUUAUAUACAGAAUUCUGCAAGCUUGCGAUAGUUUUGCAAGCUUGAGCAAGCUUUUUUAGUUGCAAGUUUGCGCAAGCUUUUUCUGUUAACGCUGGACUUAGAAAAUUUCAUGCCAGUUGUAAGGUGGGAAGCAGUAAAAAAUUCUAAGUCGAAAACAUGGAAAAUAUUUAUAAAAAUCAUUAUUUGAUGAUGAUUGAUUUUUAUUCUAACAUAUUGGUAUUCAAAUUAAAUGACAUGAAACAAAGAAUCUAAAAAUCAGGAAAACAUUUAUUUUUUCUAUAUAUGUCUAUAUAAGGGCAUGUCACACUAAAUACCAAAACUAUAAAUUUGUCUGUAGCAUGCACAAUAUAAAUAAGACAAUAUAAUAUGACAAAAAAAGAUCUUUUAACACUUUUUUUUAUACAUUUUAUGUUGAGAAUGUCUGAAUUGAUCAUACAGGGACAACUGUACAAGUGUACAUGUAAGUAUAUAAGUCAUAUGGAAUAAUAUAUGAUAUACAAGUGAUAUUCUCUUAACUUUUACUCAGUAGCAAAGCUGCCAUUUUUAGAGGAUGGGAUUAGUUAUUAUAAUCUGACAACUUUUUUUCUCUCAAAUUUUUCUGUCCAGAAAGAGGAAAUCAGCUAAAAAAAGGGAAAAUCACAUCCAUGAAGUAUUAAACUGUUAAAAUUUAUUGAAAUAUCAUGCUUUUUAUUCUCCUAGAAAACAACAGCAGCAACAGUAAUUGCAUGAAAUAGUACAAUUCUCUUCACCAAUUCAUUAAUAGUUACCUGGCAAAGGGAUUCCUAGAUAAGUGAUAAAUCAGUUGGGUCUAUUAAUCUACUGCAAUGUAUGUAUACAUUGCUUGUCUCACUACAGGAGAUUAUCUGAUGCAGACUGAUAAGAUCUGGCAUGCUUUAUAUUUAGAAACUAGUAACAAGAGAUCAACCAAUGAAAAUAGUCAGUGAACUACUUCUGGGGGCUGUACAUGUACCACAAAAAGUAAUCCAUAGCUUUUUCUGUUUUAUAUCACAGUAAUCUUCAAAAUUUAUGAGUAUGUGAUAGAAUGGAAUAAAAUCUUCCUCUAGUACAAAAAUAUAUUUAACAUCAUAGAUGUAUCAAUACCUUCAUUAGCUGACUGUAAAUGGCACAUCUGCCCAAGAAUAUCAAAAUUUCAAAUCUGCACAGGAAGUUCUUUGACAGAGAGCAGAAUAGAGUAAACAUUUGGGAGAGUGUUUCCCUAAAUAUUUUACUAUGUGCAGCUUACUUCAUCUUGGAAGUUAACAACAAUUAACAGAAUGCACCAGGUAUAGCAUCAUAUGUGUAUAUAAAGUAUCAGCACACAUGAAUGAAUUGAGACAUGUUUAGUGAUCCAAUGUAUUGUGUUCAAAGGCUCCAUCCAACAGUUCAAAGACAUGUCAUAGCAGUGAAGCAAAUGGUGGCAAAUGAUGGCUUUGUGGUGGUUAGUAAAAACUGUGGCAAUCUACAUUGGUGGUGGCAAACACUAACAGAAAAUUUCUGGAUCAGCAGUGACAUGAAGUUGAUGAAAUAAUGACAUAUUUUACACUGUACUGAAGAUGUAAUUGUGAAAAUUAUUUAAUA
rnacentral:lncRNA from 1 species